UAUGAUGUCUGUAGUGCUGACACAGGAGUGCACAAAAGGGAUGGCUUCCUAGUAGUUUGACUAAACCAGAAGGUACAAAAAUCUACCCUGCAAAACAAGUUCUAUGGAAAGCGGAGAGAUUAUAGUGGAAUUCUAUUUAGCCCUAUAAAUUCUUGUUGGUAGUAUGAUAAAAAGAUAUUAAGACACCAUGAAACACGUGAAACUAUUGCUAAAUGCACUAUCUCUUCUUUCCUGUUAGUACCGUGCAGGCCAGGUAUGCACUGAAUUCUUCAAAAUUGUCCAUGGAAUUUUGUGCUAGAGAAUGGUACUCAGUUUAAAUCUGAAGAAAAAGAAAAUGGUGGGGGGGAUCAACAGUACUUACUGAAAGCAAAAGAAUUAGCGUCACUAGCAUGAGAUUCCUUGUGUUCUAUAUUUGAUAUCAGUUCUUAAAAUCUCGAGUUCGUCCUGGAGUUGUGACUGCAUUUUCAAUCUGCAUGUCAGCUCACUGAAGAGGAUGUGGAAUGAUCAAAAAUAAUGCUCUCCAGGUCUGUUUUUCCACAUCUUCAUAAGGAUAAGAUUUUCCCAGCAGUUGAUGGUCAACCCAAUGAUCAGCUGAAAUGUUUGAGUGACUCAAGAGAGAUAUCGAUAGUGAUAUGUACUAUAUUUCCAUUUUCAUGGUCUACUCACUGCUUCUAACAUAGGAGCUGAAAGUUGUCACUGGAAGACUAUUUCUGGACUUGAUCAACGGAAUGGUUAAGGUAAUUAAAAUAAGAAAUACAGACAGGGAAAAGAGAGGAAGAGGUUAGUUAUUCUCAGGUUCUUGUAUAUGAGAAAGAUUUUUUUUUUCUUCUUUUUUUCUCUGUUUUGCAUCUGUUAUUUUAGCACAAGAGAAUGUUAAUAAACAUUCUGGCAAUAGUUAUGCA
rnacentral:lncRNA from 1 species